rnacentral:rRNA from 1 species
GAUGAACGCUGGCGGCGUGCCUAAUACAUGCCAGUCGAGCGAACGGACGAGAAGCUUGCUUCUCUGAUGUUAGCGGCGGACGGGUGAGUAACACGUGGAUAACCUACCUAUAAGACUGGGAUAACUUCGGGAAACCGGAGCUAAUACCGGAUGAUAUUUUGAACCGCAUGGUUCAAAAGUGAAAGACGGUCUUGCUGUCACUUAUAGAUGGAUCCGCGCUGCAUUAGCUAGUUGGUAAGGUAACGGCUUACCAAGGCAACGAUGCAUAGCCGACCUGAGAGGGUGAUCGGCCACACUGGAACUGAGACACGGUCCAGACUCCUACGGGAGGCAGCAGUAGGGAAUCUUCCGCAAUGGGCGAAAGCCUGACGGAGCAACGCCGCGUGAGUGAUGAAGGUCUUCGGAUCGUAAAACUCUGUUAUUAGGGAAGAACAUAUGUGUAAGUAACUGUUCACAUCUUGACGGUACCUAAUCAGAAAGCCACGGCUAACUACGUG